rnacentral:rRNA from 1 species
UACGAAGGGGACUAGCGUUGUUCGGAAUCACUGGGCGUAAAGCGCAUGUAGGCGGAUUUGUAAGUCAGGGGUGAAAUCCCGGGGCUCAACCUCGGAACUGCCUUUGAUACUGCGGAUCUUGAGUUCGAUAGAGGUGGGUGGAAUUCCUAGUGUAGAGGUGAAAUUCGUAGAUAUUAGGAAGAACACCAGUGGCGAAGGCGGCCCACUGGAUCGACACUGACGCUGAGGUGCGAAAGCGUGGGGAGCAAACAGG